UACGUAGGUGGCAAGCGUUGUCCGGAUUUAUUGGGUUUAAAGGGUGCGUAGGCGGCUUAUUAAGUCAGUGGUGAAAUACUCUAGCUCAACUAGAGGGGUGCCAUUGAUACUGAUGAGCUUGAGUACAGAUGAGGUAGGCGGAAUUGACGGUGUAGCGGUGAAAUGCUUAGAUAUGACAUAGAACACCAAUUGCGAAGGCAGCUUACUACACAGUUAUUGACGCUGAGGCACGAAAGCGUGGGGAUCAAACAGG
rnacentral:rRNA from 1 species